rnacentral:rRNA from 1 species
UGCCCUUGAGGCGUGGCUUCCGGAGCUAACGCGUUAAAUCGACCGCCUGGGGAGUACGGCCGCAAGGUUAAAACUCAAAUGAAUUGACGGGGGCCCGCACAAGCGGUGGAGCAUGUGGUUUAAUUCGAUGCAACGCGAAGAACCUUACCUGGUCUUGACAUCCACAGAACUUUCCAGAGAUGGAUUGGUGCCUUCGGGAACUGUGAGACAGGUGCUGCAUGGCUGUCGUCAGCUCGUGUUGUGAAAUGUUGGGUUAAGUCCCGCAACGAGCGCAACCCUUAUCCUUUGUUGCCAGCGGUYCGGCCGGGAACUCAAAGGAGACUGCCAGUGAUAAACUGGAGGAAGGUGGGGAUGACGUCAAGUCAUCAUGGCCCUUACGACCAGGGCUACACACGUGCUACAAUGGCAUAUACAAAGAGAAGCGACCUCGCGAGAGCAAGCGGACCUCAUAAAGUAUGUCGUAGUCCGGAUUGGAGUCUGCAACUCGACUCCAUGAAGUCGGAAUCGCUAGUAAUCGUAGAUCAGAAUGCUACGGUGAAUACGUUCCCGGGCCUUGUACACACCGCCCGUCACACCAUGGGAGUGGGUUGCAAAAGAAGUAGGUAGCUUAACCUUCGGGAGGGCGCUUACCACUUUGUGAUUCAUGACUGGGGUGAAGUCGUAACAAGGUAACCGUAGGGGAACCUGCGGUUG